rnacentral:rRNA from 1 species
UAAGGAAUAUUGGUCAAUGGAGGCAACUCUGAACCAGCCAUGCCGCGUGCAGGAAGAAGGCCCUAUGGGUCGUAAACUGCUUUUGAACAAGAGAAAACCCCGGUACGUGUACUGGGUUGAUAGUAUUGUUAGAAUAAGCAUCGGCUAACUUCGUGCCAGCAGCCGCGGUAAGACGAAGGAUGCAAGCGUUAUCCGGAUUCAUUGGGUUUAAAGGGUGCGUAGGCGGACUGAUAAGUCAGUGGUGAAAUCUCUCGGCUUAACCGAGAAACUGCCAUUGAUACUGUUAGUCUAGAGUACAGAUGAUGUGGGCGGAAUAUGGCAUGUAGUGGUGAAAUACUUAGAUAUGUCAUAGAACACCGAUUGCGAAGGCAGCUCACAAAACUGUAACUGACGCUGAGGCACGAAAGUGCGGGGAUCAAACAGGAUUAGAUACCCUGGUAGUCCCUGAGCGGGCUGGCAAGGCGCAU